rnacentral:rRNA from 1 species
CCUACGGGAGGCAGCAGUAGGGAAUAUUGCUCAAUGGGGGAAACCCUGAAGCAGCAACGCCGCGUGGAGGAUGAAGGUUUUCGGAUUGUAAACUCCUUUUGUUAGAGAAGAUAAUGACGGUAUCUAACGAAUAAGCACCGGCUAACUCCGUGCCAGCAGCCGCGGUAAUACGGAGGGUGCAAGCGUUACUCGGAAUCACUGGGCGUAAGGAGCGCGUAGGCGGGAUAGCAAGUCAGAUGUGAAAUCCUAUGGCUUAACCAUAGAACUGCAUUUGAAACUGUUAUUCUAGAGUAUGGGAGAGGUAGGUGGAAUUCGUGGUGUAGGGGUAAAAUCCGUAGAGAUCAAGAGGAAUACUGAUUGCGAAGGCGACCUGCUAGAACGUAACUGACGCUGAUGCGCGAAAGCGUGGGGAGCAAACAGGAUUAGAUACCCGGGUAGUC